rnacentral:rRNA from 1 species
AGAAUCAACGCUGGCGGCGUGCCUAACACAUGCAAGUCGAACGAGAAAGGGUAGCAAUACCUGAGUAAAGUGGCGCACGGGUGAGUAACACGUGACUAACCUACCCUGGAGUGGGGGAUAACUGAGGGAAACCUUAGCUAAUACCGCAUAAACACCUACGGGUCAAAGGAGCAAUUCGCUUCAGGGAGGGGUCGCGGCCGAUUAGUUAGUUGGCGGGGUAAUGGCCCACCAAGACAGUGAUCGGUA